CCGGGACCGGGAGGAGGAGGAGGAAGAGGAGGAAGAAUGUCGACGCGAAAUGAUCUCUCCAACGCCGUCCUGCGGUAAUAACUGGCGCCCCUCGAUGAAGCCUAGACUCUGCUGAGCGAUGAGGCGGAGCAAGGGGUGGCUUCACCUGAAGAUUGAAACGCGGAAAUGGGGCUCGGAUUUGGAUGUCUUCCGGAAUUCCUGACAGCCGGGAAAUGUCGGAUCCCUCCCAUUCGACCGUAAGCCGCUGGUGGGCAGGAAUCAUGUCUCUUCACUGUCCGGGGUUGUUUCCUCCCAAACACCUAAUGCAGUGCUCAGCACACAGUAAGUAAGCACUCAGUAAGUACCUCUGAUGGACUGAUUGCAAUUGCUCAAUCAGUUGUUUCUCUUCAAACCGUUUCAUGUAUCGUGGAAAUGUUUUGAUACUCCAGUUUUGUACCUGUCCUCUGUCAGUCAGUCGUAUGUGUUGAGCACUUACCCUGGGCAGAGCACUCUGU